UACGUAGGGUGCGAGCGUUAAUCGGAAUUACUGGGCGCAAAGCGUGCGUAGGCGGUUCGCUGUGUCCGAUGUGAAAGCCCCGGGCUUAACCUGGGAAUGGCAUUGGAAACUGGCGGGCUUGAGUGCGGCAGAGGGGGGUGGAAUUCCGCGUGUAGCAGUGAAAUGCGUAGAGAUGCGGAGGAACACCGAUGGCGAAGGCAGCCCCCUGGGUCGCCACUGACGCUCAGGCACGAAAGCGUGGGGAGCAAACAGG
rnacentral:rRNA from 1 species